rnacentral:rRNA from 1 species
GCCAGAAGCCAUGUCACCCUGCAACUUACAAUUGGGAGCCCACUGAAGCUAAGCAGAAGUGAGCCUGGUCAGUACCUGGAUGGGAGAUCUCCUGGGAAAAACUAAGGUUGUUGCUGGAA